rnacentral:rRNA from 1 species
GUAGGGUCCGAGCGUUGUCCGGAAUUAUUGGGCGUAAAGGGCUCGUAGGCGGUUUGUCGCGUCGGGAGUGAAAACGCCGGGCUUAACCCGGUGCUUGCUUUCGAUACGGGCAGACUGGAGGUAUGCAGGGGAGAACGGAAUUCCUGGUGUAGCGGUGAAAUGCGCAGAUAUCAGGAGGAACACCGGUGGCGAAGGCGGUUCUCUGGGCAUGACCUGACGCUGAGGAGCGAAAGUGUGGGGAGCGAACAGGAUUAGAUACCCUGGUAGUCCACACCGUAAACGUUGGGCGCUAGGUGUGGGAUCCAUUCCACGGGUUCCGUGCCGUAGCUAACGCAUUAAGCGCCCCGCCUGGGGAGUACGGCCGCAAGGCUAAA